NNNNNNNNNNNNNNNNNNNNNNNNNNNNNNNNNNNNNNNNNNNNNNNNNNNNNNNNNNNNNNNNNNNNNNNNNNNNNNNNNNNNNNNNNNNNNNNNNNNNNNNNNNNNNNNNNNNNNNNNNNNNNNNNNNNNNNNNNNNNNNNNNNNNNNNNNNNNNNNNNNNNNNNNNNNNNNNNNNNNNNNNNNNNNNNNNNNNNNNNNNNNNNNNNNNNNNNNNNNNNNNNNNNNNNNNNNNNNNNNNNNNNNNNNNNNNNNNNNNNNNNNNNNNNNNNNNNNNNNNNNNNNNNNNNNNNNNNNNNNNNNNNNNNNNNNNNNNNNNNNNNNNNNNNNNNNNNNNNNNNNNNNNNNNNNNNNNNNNNNNNNNNNNNNNNNNNNNNNNNNNNNNNNNNNNNNNNNNNNNNNNNNNNNNNNNNNNNNNNNNNNNNNNNNNNNNNNNNNNNNNNNNNNNNNNNNNNNNNNNNNNNNNNNNNNNNNNNNNNNNNNNNNNNNNNNNNNNNNNNNNNNNNNNNNNNNNNNNNNNNNNNNNNNNNNNNNNNNNNNNNNNNNNNNNNNNNNNNNNNNNNNNNNNNNNNNNNNNNNNNNNNNNNNNNNNNNNNNNNNNNNNNNNNNNNNNNNNNNNNNNNNNNNNNNNNNNNNNNNNNNNNNNNNNNNNNNNNNNNNNNNNNNNNNNNNNNNNNNNNNNNNNNNNNNNNNNNNNNNNNNNNNNNNNNNNNNNNNNNNNNNNNNNNNNNNNNNNNNNNNNNNNNNNNNNNNNNNNNNNNNNNNNNNNNNNNNNNNNNNNNNNNNNNNNNNNNNNNNNNNNNNNNNNNNNNNNNNNNNNNNNNNNNNNNNNNNNNNNNNNNNNNNNNNNNNNNNNNNNNNNNNNNNNNNNNNNNNNNNNNNNNNNNNNNNNAGAUAUAUAUCUAUGUGUGUGUGUGUGCGCGCGCGCACGCACACAUAUACAAACUGCGGCCUCGGGUCUAAGUAUACGUAUACAUAAUUGUGGCCUCAGGCCCAAAGAUGCAUAAAACAUAAACUGUGGCCUCAGGCCCAAAAACAGGUGUUCAACAUUCAUGAUCUAAAAUUAGGAAUUGAGAAUCAUGCUGCAAUACAUGAUACAAAAAUAUUGAAUCAUACUGGGUUACAUAAUACUGGAAUGCUAAAUAGGACUAGACAAGGAAUUGUAUUCACAAUAAAAUGAUUUUUCAUAACUGAGACUCAUCGGAUAUAGAACGAAUUAUGAACCCAUGUCUUUUAGAUAAUAGAAGUUCUACAACUAUCCAUGGAACUAAGGCAUAAUUACUUUCUGAGGAAUUUCGUAAUAGUCAUAAGAAUGAGGCGGUGGGAGAAUCAUAAGCAUUCCAAAAAAUAGAGAGUUGGCCAUACAUUACAUUGGCCUUUUUAAGCAUAUCACAAUAUUCGUCGCCUCUUUCCACGAUAAUCUAUGGCAAUAUAUAUCAAAAGGAACUAAUAUUAGCACUAAGGCUCAUGUGUUGGUAACCUAGGAAUUUUAUCAAACACCUUAUGGGCGUAAAGCCUCAUAUGCCUAAUUAAUGGUGUUUCUCACCCAACAUCCCAUUCUCUUGCUCCUAGAUAAAUUCUAAAAUCUUAAAUUGUUAUAAUCAAUAUCAUUCUUCAUCAUCCAUAAGAUAAACAACACCCUUAACCAAUAAUCAACAGUCAAAAUUGUCACGCCCCGACCGCGGGGAGCGCGACCGGCGCCCAAACGAGAUAACCUGGCCGAGCAAGCCUGCUAGAUGCCUUCUACCCAACCUUGCCUAAUAACAAUAUAAGAAUCAAUACAAGUGAUAGACAUGAGAAGAGUCAAGUGUUCCACAUUCUUUUUCCAUUACUCAAAGGAUAUUCUUUUACGAUUUUCAAAAUAUUAUAAGUUUAUGUAUAUGAAGCGAACUGGUUUGCCAAAUACUAACACUUUGAGUUCCAUUCCCAACAUCAAACACUACCCACAACCUAUCAACGGAGCCUCUAUGUAAAACAGAAGUGAAGAAUGGAAGUGUCGGCGACAAGGCCCCCAGUAUACCUCAAAGCACAAUAUACAACGUCAAAUGACAUAAAGCAGGGAACAUAGUAGGGCUCACCAAAACCUGCUGAAUAGGGAGUAACUGUUAUCUAGGAUCAAGGCCGCUCACUGAUGAACAACCUGCAUCCAUUGCAGAUGUAGCACCCCGGGCAAAAGAGACGUUAGUACAUGUGGAAUAGUACUAGUAUGUAUAGGUAAAUGUCCCCUUUAGGAAUAGAACGCCAAUAUAAGAAGGGAGAAAACUAUGGAAACAACAAGUAACAAUAAACAACAUCCAAAUUCCAAGUUUAAAACUUAACAAUUUUCAAAAUACGGAUAUAAUAUAUAUAAUUUUGGUUGGGGGAUCAUUAGCUCUGAUAUACCACCGUAAUUUUAGCAUGAAGUCCGAUCACUGCCCGAUCAGCUAGGCCGUCUCACCCAAAGACAUCAACCACAAUCAUAAUCUUUAUCUCAAUAUCAAUCAUUGUUUCAAUCAUAAUCUUAAACACAAUCACCAUCAUGUGUCCGGCAUGGCAUCCGAUCACGACCCGACCGGCUUGGCCGUCUCACCACAAUGUCGUAUGGAUCCACAUCACCAUUUUCUAGCAAUCAUCUCAUCCUAAUAAAGGAAAAUAUUUUCAUCAGAUCAAUUCCAUCCCAAUAAAGAGGUACAAUCACAAUUCACUCCUACACCGGCACGUGUAAUUUCGGGGUUAGGUUAUUUCAACCUACCCUUUCUCGGUGACUAACAAUACUCCCAAAAAUAUUUUUGUUUGGCACAAAAGGGAAACAAAGUACAAAUAUAUUUUAUAUUCACCUCAUAACCUUUCACACAAUAAAUAGCUUCAUUAGUACUUUCAACCAUUCACAAUAUCAUUAUUUCCUUGGCUCUCUUGGCCAUACUUAUGAUUCAUCAUUCAUUGCACGUUGGCCGUAUUUCGUAUUCCACAUUUUUCAUUCUUUGACUUUCUAUGAUCAUCAUCACAAACAUCAACACAUAGAAUAUUUCAAAAAUCAUAAUUUUAAGUUCAUCAGUAGUGGAGUCUUUAACCACAUUAGACCCCUUUCCAAAACAUGAAGCACAAUGACUUGUAAUCACAUUAAGAGUUAAAAAUCAUAAACGAGUGAAACAUCAUAUCUUUUUAAAUACUUCUUCACAAAAGGCAAUACACAAUUUCAACUCUUGAGUACGUAAGAGCUCAAAUCAUAGUUGAAAUAUUUAUAAAGGAGAGCAUGGUGAUUUAUAAUUUACACAUAACUUCAAAUCAAAUGCACUAGUUACAACAACCAUGGCCACAUUUUAUAUCUCACUCUCAGUUCUUUCAUUUUUAAGCAUAUUUAUGGAUCAUCAUCAAAAAGAGAAUUUGGGAUCAAGGCCUUAAGCAUAAAUAUGAACAAUAGGGGCCUUAGGCGCAUUGAGUUUUCUUUCACAAAUGGGCAUAACAACGUGCAAUUUACACAUGAUUUGAAAUCAUACUAACUCGACAUAUUGGGAACACUAGGAUACAUUCCCGAUGGAGAACACAAAACUAUAGGAGAAUUUGGUGCACCUUGAUUAGUAUAUAUCUUUCAACAUAAGCUUAUUCAGAAUAGUCAAAUAUAUAAGGAAUAACUAGGAACAUGGGAAUUAGGAAUAACUCACUACCCGAUCAGCUAGGUCAUCUCACCCAAAGACAUCAACCACAAUCACAAUCAUUAUCUCAAUAUCAAUCAUUGUUUCAAUCAUAAUCUUAAACACAAUCACCACCAUGUGUCCGGCAUGGCGUCUGAUCACGACUCGACCGGCUUGGCCGUCUCACCACAAUGUCGUAUGGAUCCACAUCACUAUUUUCUAGCAAUCCUCUCAUCCUAAUAAAGGAGAAUAUUUUUAUCAGAUCAAUUACAUCCCAAUAAAGCGGUACAAUCACAAUUCACUCCUACACCGGCACGUGUAGUUUCGGGGUUAGGUUAUUUCAACCUACCCUUCCUCGGUGACUAACAAUACUCCCAAAAAUAUUUUUAUUUUGCACAAAAGGGGAAAAAAAGUACAAAUAUAUUUUAUAUUCACCUCAUAACCUUUCACACAAUAAAUAGCUUCAUUAGUACUUUCAACCAUUCACAAUACCAUUAUUUCCUUGGCACUCUUGGCCAUACUUAUGAUUCAUCAUUCAUGGCGUGUUGGCCGUAUUUUGUAUUCCACAUUUUUCAUUCUUUGACUUUCCAUGAUCAUCAUCACAAACAACAACCCAUAGAAUAUUUCGGAAAUCAUAAUUUUAUGUUCUCAGUUCUUUUACUUUUAAGCAUAUUUAUGGGUCAUCAACAAAAAAGAGAAUUUGGUAUCAAGGCCUUAAGUAUAAAUAUGAACAAUAUGGGUCUUAGGCGCAUUGAGUUUUCUUUCACAAAUGGGCAUAAAUACUUGCAAUUUAAACAUAAUUUGAAAUCAUUCUAUCUCGACAUAUUGGGCACAAUAGGAUAGAUUCCCGAUGGAGAACACAAGACGAUAGGAUAAUUUGGUGCACCUUUUUUAGUAUAUAUCUUUCAACACAAGAUUAUUCGGAAUAGUCAAAUAUAUAAGGAAUAAUUCGGAACAUGGGAAUUAGGAAUUUGAACCAACCAUUCUUGAAACUUACGGGAACAUCAUGGAAUUCAAUUCCAAGAGAGAAGUUUAGCCAACAUAACUUGCUUGAGCUUUCCUUAAGUCACUACAAUGUCCCAACAUCCUAGCAAUAACAAUCUAUAGGAAAAUAGAAACAAAAUCGGAUAAUAAUUAGAAGGAUUCCCAUGGUAUAACUCUCUUAGUAAUUUUGUCAAAUACCUACUAUGCGAAAUAGACUACAAAGUUCCACAAUGGUAACCCCUUCCUCCCUCAACCAAUUCCAACAAGAAACUUAACCAAAAUAGUUCAUUAACCCCACAUACUACAACUUAUUGGCACAUGCACAUCCUAGCAAUAACAAUCUAUAGGAAAAAUAGAAAAAAAUCGGAUAAUAAUUAGAAGGAUUCCCAUGGUGUAACUCUCUUAGUAAUUUUGUUAAAUACCUACUAUGCGAAAUAGACUACAAAGUUCCACAAUGGUAACCCCUUCCUCCCUCAACCAAUUCCAACAAGAAACUUAACCAAAAUAGUUCAUUAACCCCACAUACUACAACUUAUUGGCACAUGCAUGUCCUAUUUCCAACCCCACAAUAUACUUGAACUCAUAACCUCUUGCAUGAAAGCUUAGGAGUAGGACUUACCCGGAUAGAUGAUAAUCUAGUGACUGGCUUCCUUGAUUCUUGAAGAUUGGUGCAAGAAUAUGUGAUUAGAAUGCUAGAUUUCCUCCUUCUCUCUCUAAAAAAACUCUUACCUCUCUCUAAAAUCAUCAGACAUUCGCUUCAAAAUGAGCCCCAAAGGAUAUUUAUCAAAAUGAGAUCGGGUUAUAAAAAUAGGAAAAUGGACCCUCCGAACUCAGGUGUGCGAUCGCAGAAUGGACGCCAACUUCAAUUCACAAAACCAAGGUUUAUCUCGUGUAGUCAUUGUGGUGGGAAUCCCAAGCUUCCUUACCGUUUUUAGGGGUAUAACAUUUAUAGCUGACCCCGGAUCUACUUGCACUUGUCGAAGUUUUACUUCACCAAUAUCCGUAGAACAGAUAUGCAGCCUGCAAAAUGGACCGCAAAAAUGAUGCCUAGAAAUGGCCCGAUCUGCGAUAGCUCUGCGGUCCGCAAACCACUUAUGUGGCCGCAGAGUGGACCGCAGAAUCACUCUCCAAAAUAUUUCAUGCCAAAUCUGCAACGGAUAUGAGGAACGCGAAACAACUAUGCGAUCGCAUAAUGGACCGCAGAACAACCUUUAAAAUCAACAAAUUCUCUGCUCAACUCUACGAUGAUUAUACGGCCCGCGAAAUGGUUCUGCGGUCGCAAAACUGACCGCAGAAUUGCCUUCUUCAGCAAAAACUUUCCAUCAACUCCUCAGUGCAUUCUUCGAUCCAAAAAAGUAUGUACCGCGGCUUUCUACAAUCCUCAAACAUGUAAGCCUAGCUCGGCACCACAAAACCUCAAAUGUCUUGGCAAAGUUUAUGGGGCCUUACACCCUCCCCCGCUUAGGAUCAUUCGUCCUCGAAUGAGGAGUAGAGUAUAUCCAAAUCACCCAACAUAAUUCAUCUCUUCCUUCACACAUCGCAAUACUCCAAAUUUGACUAACUCCCAAAUUUUCCAAAUAUUUUGGCAGAGUCUCCUCUGUAAUUGGACCUAACCACCUGCCAGAGUAACACCAAAAGUACCCUAACAACACAUCCAUAUAUAAACAAAGCAUCACAAUAUAUGUUAAUAACAGAAGUGGUAUUUGGACAUGAACUGCAUAUUUUUUAAAUCGUAACACCCAGAAAGUACCUUUUGAACCACAGUCAUUUGGCUAUACAAACAAGUGAGAAUAUUUUCUUUCCACUACACUCUCGGCCAUCAAGGCAACCUCCUCGACUCACAGACUUAGCCAUAGCACUUGACGGAGGCAAUCUCAACUUCCCAUAAGCCAAUUACCCAUUAACUUCACCUUCAACAGCUUCGACCAGAACGAUAGUCAAAGGACUCCCAACUACCUUCUUUGACGUAGACACAUGAAGCAUCGGGUGCAUGGAGAACAACGAUGGGGGACAUCCUACGCAUAGCUCGGCCUAUUUCCCUCAAGAUUCUAUAAGUCCCAAUGUGUACCACUCCAACUUUACCUUUAUUAACAAUUCACAUAAUAUCUUGACGGAGAUGAUAUGGAGAAUAACCCGUUCACUUUCUUCAACUCUAAAUCUCUAUGACGAACACCCGAAGUGGCCCCUUGGAGACCUUCAACCCCCAUCUCCUUCUUAUACUAUGGUGUGACUGAAUUAAUAUGACCAUAGAGUUCCUACCCAAUAUGUUCGAUUAUGGAGUAAUGCUUAUUUUUUGACAUGUGAGAAACUACAAGUCUCUAGAGAUCUACUACAAAUAGGAACAACGAGGUUCGAGUUUGAGUUAGAAUUGUUCAUUAAUCCACCAAGGUGCUAAGCAGGGAAUUUCAGGAGGUUAUAUUCUAAGAGACAUGAGGGUGACCACCAAUAGUGCUUACAUGGUUAAUCAUUGUGAUGACAUCAUCGAUUCAAACAAACGAGGCAUAGAGUUACUAGUACACAUUAAUAAUGUGGGAACCAUGUACAUGAUCCUAAGUUGUAUAACAAGUGAGUCAUUUUAGACAUAUGAUAUAUGAAAGGCAUGAUCGGGAGGAUAAAACAUUAGCAUCAAUUAUUCUGGGAAGAUGAUGAGUUAUGAAAGUGAUAGUAAAAAUUGUUUCACUCCACAUGUGCCUUGUUCGGCAAUUGUAAGCCUUGAAGAGAAAUAGCCAAGUACAUGACACCAGUCGCCUCCUUGAGUAUAGGGAAAAUCAGUUUAGCUAAAAAUAAGAAGAUUGUUACACCAUGAAUAUGAUAGAGAUAUAAAAAUAUAUGAAGUUGCAUUACGCCCUCAAAAGUAACUGACACAAGGAAUCUAUGCCACAAGCCCACGAGGUUGAAAAAGAGGUUGAUAACUUGUGAGAUUAUUAUUAUUCUGGUAGCUUGCCACUCUCCCAAUAGUUGAUCCUAUACCAGAGGACUAGAGAUACGAUUGGCUUGACCCUGAAACUAAAUAUGUUCAUGAUAAGGGCCUAACAAUCAGAAACAUUUAAUUUCAAACUUUCAUGGGUGAAACCAUGUAUCUAUGACAUCUUAAUAUUGGGAUUAAGGCAUGCAUAAUAUUAAGGAUAGUAAACACUCCGCACAUGACAAAGGCAUAGUAAAGGAUUCUAGAAGCCGAGUGUUUAGAGGUGACGCAACCCAUGGAGAUACUAUGAAAUAAUCAUGGAGGGUUUUGCGAAUGUUCAUAAUGAGUUCUCCAUGGAUUUUUUAUGACUUAAAAGUACCCAUAUGCUAGCGGAGGAUGGGAAAACAUGUUAAUCAGAAAUGAUGCUAUGAUAAGACCAAAGAUGCAUUCAACUUAAUAGAGAGCCCCUUAAGAAUCCUACGAGACAGGGAGUGUUACAGUGAUACAUAGAAGGUUGCGAUCUCUCAUGGUUAUCCAACAAAUGUCAGGAAACUAGCACAAUGAAUUCACUACUUAAGGAACACAGUUAAUACAUAUUGUAGAGGUGUAAAGAGAAAAUGAAUAUUUGUUAUGAGCUGGACAUGUUUCUGCUAUAAUAACUCUCAAACUGCAAUACCAGGCCAUGUCAUGAGCAAAUACAAUACUAGGAACAAAGUGAGAUACUUUCUGAGGUAUGAUCUAGGUGUAUUGAAAGUCAUACUAAGAUGGGCAGAUAUAAGAUCUUCCUAUGACGAACUUGUGUAAAUCCCAAAUUUCCGAGAAACUUGAUGCGGACAAGUGACCAUUUCAAUUGACAUGUACACAUAUGAUAGGUGUUUAGAUAUGCUCUUAUGUUACUAGACAGUGAAAAGGGUUUAUGAUAGUGCUCACAAAGGGAUUAAAGUGAUUGUUCAAACCAUAUGAGUCACUUGCACAGGAGAAAGAGAGUGGCUCAAGAAAGAUAUCGGCACAAGGCUGCCUUACAUUAGAUUCGAUAUCCUGUAGAUAAACAUUAUGAUAGUGCAUGCACAAGUACAAGUGAGCAUGUGUUAUCCAUUUGAAUCAGAAGGUUAUAUAAGAAAUUCGUCACCUACAGUCUUUUGUUGAGAAUUUAGGGUAGCAAGUGGGAAGUAUUAACCUAGGGUUAUAACCCAAUUCAAGGAAAUCAUUAUAGAACUCAAUUCCUCAAGAGGUUGUAAAUAAGAGAAUUGUGAUAAAAAGGCUUCACGAAUAAUGUGUCUCGUUCAAAGAGUAGGUACAUGCAAUGUUUUGUGAUUCAGUUUCUUGUUAAGGCCAUAUUUAUGUAGGCUCUUCAAUAUAGAUGCACAUAUACAACAAGGAGAAUUAUGCGGUGUUCAUACAUGGUGAUGUACUAACGAGUGACUUACUUGGUACCUUUAGGUUGACCGGCAGUGCCUUAAAACAUGCCCCUCGAGUCCACAUCUAUAACAUACAUUAGUACCAUAGUGGCAUACCCCCGAAUGACAUUUCCUAUACUUCACGCAACGAAGAUGAGGUCCACAAAACUGACUCGCCCCACUGACAUGAUAUUUACCCUUUUUGCAUACAUCAUAAGCAUCCCCCUUAUCCUUCCUCCAAGACCCUAUGACGGGAUUAACAAUCUCUGUACCGGCUUUUUGUAUGAGCUUUUGGGAUUUCCCAAGCCUACCACCCCUAACACGCUUAUGAGCAUACUCGCAACAUGACGUCAAAUGUUCCUUCCCUCAUAUCGGGUGGACCAGGAUGGGUGUACCUAACCUAGGGCAUUUGUUCUGCUUUUGCCCCGUCUUUCCACAUCCAUAACUUAUUUCAAGAGACAUCCAAAAUCUCCCCAAGUGACGCUUCAUACAAAUCAAACAAUCUGGUCAUUGGUACCAACAACCCUCUUUCGUUUCUUAGGUCCUCUCACCAUAUGAUCCGGUGGUGCGGUGACAUUGAUAGGAACAAGGACACUUCCCUUGGCAAUAAGUUCUUCUGAUCCCUCCACGUCUCGACACAUUCUCCCAACGAACUCUCAUGCAAUCUCCCCAAAAUUCAAUGGCGAGGUCAUACCCUCCUAGCUGAUUCGACCUCGUGGUUUACUCAUCUGGAAAAUGAGAUAUGGCGAGGAAAUUAAAUUCCUAUCUUGAGCUCUAUCACACGAUCUGGAGUAUCAAAGAAGGGUGAAAUUCCUAAAUGUCCAAGUAGCCUCCUAAUUAUAGAAGUGGUCGACAACACACCGAUAAGUAGGACUCUACUACACACGGCUCCGAAACAUCCUAUGACACCUUAAAACCUUAGGCUCAGAUACCAAGUUUGUCACGCCCUGACCUCGAGGAGCACGACCGCCGCUCAACCGAGAUAUCCUGGCCGUGCAAGCCUGCUAGAUGCCUUCUACCCAACCUUUCCCAUUAACAAUAUAAGAAUCAGUACAAGUAAUAGAUCUGAGAAGAGUCAAGUGUUCCACAUUUCUUUUCCAUUACUCAAAUGAUGUUCAUUUACGAUUUCCAAAAUAUUACAAGUUUCUAGAUAUGAUGAAAAAUAGAUUUGCCAAAUACCAACACUUCUAGUUCCAUUCCCAACACAGGACACCACCCACAACCUGUCUACGGAGGCUCUAAGUACAAUAGAAGUGAAGAAUGGAAGUGUCGACGACAAGGCCCCAGCAAUACCUCAAAGCACAAUAUACAACAUCAAAUGACAUAAAGCCUGGAACAGAGUAGGGCUUACCAAAACUUACUGAAUAGGGAGUAACUGCUAUCGAGGAUCAAGACCGCUCAACGAUGAACCACAUGUAUCCGUUGAAGAUGCAGCACCCCCAGCAAAAGGGACGUUAGUACAUCUGGAAUAGUACUAGUAUGUAUAGNNNNNNNNNNNNNNNNNNNNNNNNNAGCACCGACAUACCACCGUGAUUUUAGCACGGAGUCCGAUCACAGCUCGAUCGGCUAGGCCGUCUCACCCCAAAGACAUCAACCAAAAAUCACAAUCAUUAUCUCAAUAUCAAUCAUUGUUUCAAUCAUAAUCUUAAACACAAUCACCACCAUGUGUCCAGCAUGGCGUCCGAUCACGACACGACCGCCUUGGCCGUCUCACCACAAUGUCGUAUGGAUCCACAUCACUAUUUUCUAGCAAUCCUCUCAUCCUAAUAAAGGAGAAUAUUUUCAUCAGAUCAAUUCCAUCCCAAUAAAGCGGUACAAUCACAAUUCACUCCUACACCGGCACGUGUAGUUUCGGGGUUAGGUUAUUUCAACCUACCCUUCCUCGGUGACUAACAAUACUCCCAAAAAUAUUUUUAUUUUGCACAAAAGGGAAACAAAAGUACAAAUAUAUUUUAUAUUCACCUCAAAACCUUUCACACAAUAAAUAGCUUCAUUAGUACUUUCAACCAUUCACAAUACCAUUAUUUCCUUGGCACUCUUGGCCAUACUUAUGAUUCAUCAUUCAUGGCGCGUUGGCCGUAUUUUGUAUUCCACAUUUUUCAUUCUUUGACUUUCCAUGAUCAUCAUCACAAACAACAACCCAUAGAAUAUUUCGGAAAUCCUAAUUUUAUAUUCUCAGUUCUUUUACUUUUAAGCAUAUUUAUGGGUCAUCAACAAAAAAGAGAAUUUGGUAUCAAGGCCUUAAGUAUAAAUAUGAACAAUAUGGGUCUUCGGCGCAUUGAGUUUUCUUUCACAAAUGGGCAUAAAUACUUGCAAUUUAAACAUAAUUUGAAAUCAUUCUAUCUCGACAUAUUGGGCACACUAGGAUAGAUUCCCGAUGGAGAACACAAGACGAUAAGAGAAUUUGGUGCACCUUUUUAAGUAUAUAUCUUUCAACACAAGAUUAUUCGGAAUAGUCAAAUAUAUAAGGAAUAAUUCGGAACAUGGGAAUUAGGAACUUGAACCAACCAUCCUUGAAACUUACGGGAACAUCAUGGAAUUCGAUUCCAAGAGAGAAGUUUAGCCAACAUACCUUGCUUGAGCUUUCCUUAAGUCACUACAAUGUCCCAACACUCCUAGCAAUAACAAUCUAUAGGAAAAUAGCGAAAUUCGGAUAGUAAUUAGAAGGAUUCCCAUGGUGUAACUCUCUUAGUAGUUUUGUCAAACACCUACUAUGCGAAAUAGACUACAAUAAUGGUAACCUCUUCCUCCCUCAACAAUUUUCAACAAGAAACUUAACCAAAAUGGUUCAUUAAUCCCACAUACUACAACUUAUUGCCGCAUGUAUGGCCUAUUUCUAUCCCCUCAAUAUACUUGAACUCAUAACCUCUUGCAUGAAAGCUUAGGAGUAGGACUUACCGAGAUAGAUGAUAAUCUAGUGAUUGGCUUCCUUGAUUAUUCAAGAUUGGUACAAGAAUAUUUGAUUAGAAUGCUAGUUAUUCUGGGAAGAUGAUGAGUUAUGAAAGUGAUAGUAACAAUUGUUUCACUCCCCACGUAAGCCUACCUCGGCACCACAAAACCUCAAAUUCCUUGGCGUAAUUUACAGGGCCUUACAAAAACCCAAACUUAUAACCGUUCAUAUUUUUCGGUCAAAACCCAUCAACUCAUAUCUCAUGAACUAGAGUCUAUAAUCAUUAAUCCAAUACUAUAAUCAAUUAGAGGGUGAAGAUAUUACCUUUUUGACGUUCAGUCCUCUUGAAUUCGAGUUCUAAAGGUUCUUUUCUCAAUAAUGAUGUCUCAAUUGAAUAUCUAAUAAUUUGAAGGGUUUAUCCAUGUUAAUAAGUUAUAGGAGAAUUUACAUUAACUUACAAUCUUUAUUAUAAUUUACCUUGGAUGAUGGAGGGACCUUGGAGGAUGUUAGGUUCUUGAGAGCUUCCCUUUCUAGGACAAGUUUUCGUCUUUUGGAGUGUGGGGGGUGAGAUAGGGGUUUCAAAAUGGCCCUCCAAGAGUGCGCCCACACAGCUGAAGUCCAGUCGUGCCCCUAAAUGUGAAGCAAGGGUAGUGGCACUUCCACAAGUGCGAUGUCCCGCUUAGGACAACUGGGCGCGCAUCCGAGCGUGUAGGCUGUGCAUUGUCCAGUAAAACACCCAUAACCAUUUGAAUAAUGAUUCGUUAUGACUCAACAAUAUAUCAUUAGAAAGAUAUUUCUAAGGGCUACAACUUUUAUGUUUUACAUUUUCUCAAAUUCCUAAUAGAUUCACACAAAAUUAGGCUGGAAGAUAGACCUUCUAUAAAAUUAGAGGGUGUUUCGAUUGGCUUAUUUUAAGUGUUUAUUGGAUUUUAAGCACUUUUCUAGUUUUUGUGGUGUUUGCCAAUGAUAAAAAGUGCUUAAAAUCACUUACUUUUGGCAUGAAAACUACAAAAAUAAUCCAAAAGCCAAAAGUUGGGUAUUACCGACUUAUGGCUUUUGACUUUUAACUUAUAAGCUAUUUCCGCCCAUACUCAUCCCGAUAGGACAUUACAUGCCUAAAUGUCACAUUAAUACUCAUUUAACACAUUCACACCUAAUCCGAAUUUACGGUGUGCUACAUCAACAACUUGCAUAUGAAAAGGGAAUAAAAUUUUAGUGAACAAAAGAGACACCAAUACUGAAACAAAACAGUUAGCAAAACACCAAUAAACACAUGCAGAAAGUAUUUAAACAAGUUUAUACAAAAGAAUUGAAAAUUAUUUAAUAGCAAUACAGGAAAAACUUUUAACUCAACUUUUCUCUACUUGAAUUUGCAUCGAGUAGAAUCCGUUUGUUCUUUGGAUAUUAUAUCUAAACUACUUUUAGCAUUAUCGUCGAUAGACCAAAUCAGGUCCCAACAACUCCGCUUCACCAACUUCAAACCAACCAAUAGGUUAUCUACACCUUCGCCCAUACAGAGCUUCGUACGGUGCCAAUUUGAUACUAAAAUGGUAGCUGUUAUUAUCUACCCUCAACAUAUCCUCAAGAGUAUGAAUAGUGAGCUCUACCUGGCCAUCCGUCUAAGGUUAAAAAGUUGUGCUGAAGUUCAACCUUGUACCCAAUCAUUUCUUAAAGGAUUUCGAAAAGUUCGCUGUGAACUGAGCAGUACGAUCUGAGAUAAUGGACGAAGCAUUCCCAUGCAAUCGGACAAUUUCUGGAUAUACAACUUGGCAUAAUACACUGCAGAAUUUGUAGUCUUCACUGGCAAGAUGUGAGCUGACUUUAUAAGUCGGUCUACAAUCACCCAAAACGAAUCAUGCUUAAGAAAUGAGUGAGGUAAACCUGUUAUGAAUUCCAUCUUUAUCUUCUCCCAUUUCCAAACAGGAAUUUCGAUACUUUGAGCCAAACCACCAGGCCUCUGGUGUUUAGCUUUUACCUGCUAACAAUUUUGACACUUAACCACAAAAUCUGCUUCACUCUUUUUCAUGUUGUUUCACCAAUAAAUCUCCUUAAGAUCAUGAUACAUCUUUGUGGAACCUGGAUGAAUAGAAUACCUGGAAUUGUGGGCUUCAGACAUAAUCCGCUCUCUAAUCCCAUUUACGUCUGGAACGCAUAGUCUGCCUUUGUACCUCAAUGUACCAUCAUCUCCCCCUUGUUCAAAAGUCGUAGUCUUGUAUUUGUGAAUCCCUUCCUUCAGCUGCAAUAAGUAGGGAUCACUGAACUACUUUUCCUUCACUUCGGCUAAUAAGGAGGAUUCAACCCUGUUCUAAAAAACAACGCCACCAUCUUUGGAGUCCAGAAGUUGAACUCCUAGACUUGCUUAGCGGUGGACUUCCUUUGCCAUAGUUUGAUUGUCUGCUUCAACAUGACCUAAGCGUCACAUAGAACGUUGACUAAGACCAGGCUACAAUAUUUUCUUUCCCUGGAUGAUAGAGGAUAACAAUAUCAUAAUCCUUGAGCAAUUUGAGCCAGCUUCUCUGACAAAGAUUCAAUUUUCUUUGCUUGAAGAAGUACUAGAGACUCUUGUGAUUUGUGAAAAUAUCAACACGCACUCUAUACAAAUAAUGGCGCCAGAUAUUUAGCGUAAAUACUACGGCUGCUAACUCAAGAUCAUGAGUCGGAUAAUUCUUCUCAUGAUCCGUGAGCUAUCUGAAUGCAUAGGCUAUGACUUUAUCAUGCUGCAUUAACAUGCACCCAAGACCAACCCAUGAAGCAUCACAAUAAACAACGAACCCUUCGGUUCCUUCCGGUAGUGUCAAGACUGGAGCUGAACUCAACCUCUUAUUCAACUCCUCAUAACUCUUCUCGCAAAUGUCUGACCACUAAAACAUGACUUUCGUUUGAGUUAGUCUAGUCAAAUGGGAUAAGAUAAAGGAAACUCCCUCUACGAAACGCCUGUAAUAGCCUGCUAGACCCAAGAAUCUUCUUAUAUCGGAAACUGAGGUGGGUCUAGGCUAGUUCCUCAGUGCCUCUAUUUUCUGAAAAUCCACCUUCGGGUCUUCGCAAGAGAUGACAUGGGCCAAAAACGCUACAGAUUCACACUUGGGCCAAAAAUGCUAGCUUGUCAUCUUGUAGUGUCUGCAACAAGAUUCUAAGAUGUUCUACAUGGUUAGUCUCGCACGGGAGUAAAUCACGAUGUCAUCAAUAAACACAAUAACGAAAAAAUCAAGAUAAGGCUUGAAGACCCUAUUCAUAAGGUCAAUGAAAGUUAUUGGUGCAUUCGUUAAACCAAACAACAUUAUCAAAAAUUUGAAAUGUCCAUAACGAGUCCUGAAAGCUGUUUUAGGAACAUCGACUUCCUUAAACUUUAAUUGAUGGUAUCCUGAUCUGAGAUCAAUCUUGGAAUAACACUGGGCACCCUGAAGUUGAAAGAAUCAAUCAUCUAUUAUGGGAAUUCUAUAAGGCGGAAUAGAUAUCGGCUUAGUGUCGGGGAGUAGAUCAAUUCCAAAUUCAAUCUCUCUAUCAUGAGGGACUCCAGCAAUAUCAUUGGAAAACACUUUUGGGAACUCAUUUACAAUUGGUACUGACUAGAAUGUGGGAAUCUGAGCAUCUGCAUCCCUAACUCGAACCAUGUGAUAGUAUACCCUUUAGAGAUCAUCUUUAUUGCUUUAUGAUAUGAAAUAAACCUACCCCUAGGUGUUAUCGCAUCACCCUUCCAUCUAAGACUGGUUUACCUGGAAAUUCGAAACUUAGUAUUUUGGUUUUACAACCCACUGUGGAAUAACAGGACUUUAACCAAUCCAUGCCCAUGAUUACAUCAAAGUCUACCAUCUCCAAUUCUACUAAGUUUGCUACAGUAAGGUGGAUUGAAAGUCAAACUAAGAUGGGCAGAUAUAAGAUCUUCCUAUGACGAACUUGUGUAAAUCCCAAAUUUUUGAGAAACUUGAUGCGGACAAGUGACUAUUUCAAUUGACAUGGACACAUACAAUAGGUGUUUAGAUAUGCUCUUAUGUUACUAGACAGUGAAAAGGGUUUAUGAUAAUGCUCACAAAGGGAGUAAAGUGACAGUUCAAACCAUAUGAGUCACCUGCACAGGAGAAAGAGAGUGGCUCAAGAAAGAUAUCGGCAGGUUGCCUUACAUUAGAUUCAAUACCCUAUAGAUAAACAUUAUGAUAGUGCAUGCACGAGUACAAGUGAGCAGAUGCUAUCCAUUUGAAUCAGAAGGUUAUAUAAGAAAUUCAUCAGGUACAGUCUUUUUUUGAGAAUUUAGGGAAGCAAGUGGGAAGUAUUAACCUAGGGUUAUAACCCAAUUCAAGGAAAUCAUUAUGGAACUCAAUUCCUCAAGAGGUUUUAAAUAAGAGAAUUGUGAUGAAAAGGCUUCACGAAUAAUGUGUCUCGUUCAAAGAGUAGGUACAUGCAAUGUUUUGUGAUUCAGUUUCUUGUUAAGGCCAUAUUUAUGUAGGCUCUUCAAUAUAGAUGCACAUAUACAACAAGGAGAAUUAUGCGGUGUUCAUACAUGGUGAUGUACUAAGGAGUGACUUACUUGGUGACGUUAGGUUGACCGGGUAGUGCCUUAAAACAUGCCCUCGACUCCACAUCUAUAACAUACAUUAGUACCAUAGUGACAUACCCCCGAAUGACAUCUCUUAUACUUCACGCAAAGAGGAUGAGGUCCACUAAACUGACUCGCCCCACUGACAUGAUAUUUACCCUUUUUGCAUACAUCAUAAGCAUCCCCUUUAUACUUCCUCCAAGACCCCAUGACUGGAUUAACAAUCUCUGUACCAGCCUUUUGUAUGAGCUUUUGGGAUUUCCCCAAGCCUACCACCCCUAACACGCUCCUAGCAUACUCGCAACACGACGUCAAAUGUUCCUUCCCACAUAUCUGGUGGACUAGGAUGGAUGUACCUAACCUAGGGCAUUUGUUCUUCUUGUGCCCCCUUUUUCCACAUUCAUAACCUAUUUCAAGAGACAUCCAACAUCUCCAUAAGUGACGCUUCUUACAAAUCAAAUAAUCUGGUCAUUGGUACCAACAACCCUCUUUCGCUUCUUAGGUCCUCUCACCACAUGAUCCAGUGGUGCGGCGACAUUGAUAGGAAUAAGGACACUUCCCUUGGCAACAAGUUCUUCCGAUCCCUCCACGGCUCGACACAUUAUCCCAUGAACUCUCGUGCAAUCUCCCCAAAAUUCUAUGGCGAUGUCAUACCAUCCUAGCUGCUUCGAACUCGUUUAUUACUCAUCUGGAAAAUGAGACAUGGCAAGGAAAUUAAAUUCCUAUCUUGAGCUCUAUCACACGAUCUGGAGUAUCAAAGAAGGGUGAAAUUCCUAAAUGUCCAAGUAGCCUCCUAAUUAUAGAAGUGGUCGACAACACACUGAUAAGAAGGACUCUACUACACACGGCUCCGAAACAUCCUAGGACACCUUAAAACCGUAGGCUCAAAUAAAAAGUUUGUCACGUCCUGAUCUCGGGGAGCACGACCGAUGCUCAACCGAGAUAACCUGGCCGUGCAAGCCUGCUAGAUGCCUUCAACCCAACCUUGCCUAUUAACAAUAUAAGAAUCAGUACAAGUGAUAGACAUGAGAAGAGUCAAGUGUUCCACAUUUCUUUUCCAUUACUCAAAUGAUAUUCAUUUACGAUUUCCAAAAUAUUACAAGUUUCUAGAUAUGAUGAAAAAUAGAUUUGCCAAAUACCAACACUUCUAGUUCCAUUCCCAACACAGGACACCACCCACAACCUGUCUACGGAGGCUCUAAGUACAAUAGAAGUGAAGAAUGGAAGUGUCGGCGACAAGGCCCCGGCUAUAUCUCAAAGCACAAUAUACAACAUCAAAUGACAUAAAGCCUAGAACCGAGUAGGGCUCACCAAAACCUAUUGAAUAGUAAGUAACUGCUAUCGAGGAUCAAGACCGCUCAAUGAUGAACCACAUGCAUCCGUUGAAGAUGCAGCGCCCCCGGCAAAAGGGAUGUUAGUACAUGUGGAAUAGUACUAGUAUGUAUAGCUAAAUGUCCCAUUUUGAAAUAGAAUGCCAAUAAAAGAAAGGGGAAAACUAUGAAAACAACAAGUAACAAUCAACAGCAUCCAAAUGCCAAGUUUAAAACUUAACAAUUUUCAAAAUACGGAUAUAAUAUAUAUAUAUAUUUUUGGUUGGGAGAUCAUUAGCACCGACAUACCACCGUGAUUUUAGCACAGACUCUGAUCACAGCCCGAUCGGCUAGGCCGUCUCACCCAAAGACAUCAACCACAAUCACAAUCAUUAUCUUAAUCUUAAUCAUUGUCUUUAUUAUUCUACCUUGUUGAUGGAUAAUCCCUUAAGAAGUGGCUCUGCGGACCGCACCCAAAGCAACUAUUUAUGCCUAAACGACACACCCCUAGGUGCCUUUUACCACACGUGUUGCAAAUAGGGUAACCAGGGACUCUAUAGCCCAAACUAGCAUGUGACUGUGAGUCUGUGGCUCUGAUAUUCCGGUUAUUUUUGCUAAACAUGGACCACUGAACUGGUGCACUAGUUGAAUAUGGAGCAAGUCCUGAUUUUGGUUUCCUGAAGAACUGGCGAUUACUAAAUCCUUGAGAUUCGCCCAUGGCUGAAAUUUCCUGCAGUCUUAGCUCUCUUGCUGAAUUCCUUGUCCUUCUCUCUCUUUAGCCGCUCUUCUUCCUUCAGCCUGUCUCUUUUCCCUUGAACAAAGGCAACCAUCUUAUUAAUGGUCAUGUCAUUGUUCUGAGCACCUAUAUUAGCAUCAGUAAACAAGUCAUCCGAAAGCCCUAACACAAACCGCCUAACUCUAGCUCUCAUAUCACGUACCAUUUCCUGAGCAUACUUGGCCAGAGAGACCAAUUUGAGAUAGUACUCGUUCACACUCAUCUCAUUUUGUUUGAGUCUCUCAAACACUAAAGCCUUAGCUUUCAAGACCUUAAUGAGUAGAUAUGCUCAAGAAAUGCGUCUGCAAACUCCUUCCUAGUCACACCUGUCGCAUCCUCCUCUCGGGACUCUUCCAAUGUUUCAUACCAAGUGUUAGCAACAUCCUUCAGCUGGUACGCAGCAAGCUCUGCUGUCUCAGAGUUUGUAGAAUGCAUCUCUUGAAAUAUCUUCUAAACAUCAUCAAUGAAGUUUUGCGGAUCCUCAGCCUUUUUGGACCCUGUGAAAACUGGAGGUUUGAUGUUGAGGAAUUCCCUAGACCUGGAACUACCCGUCUCAUCAACAGCACUUGUUCCCUGCCUUUGAGCCUGAAUAGCAACAAUCUAGGUGAGCAACUAGAUAGCUCCCCUGAUAUCCAUGUCUGAAGCACAGGGCACUGCGCCCAAUGCAACUUCUUGGGUAGGAGUGUCAUUAGUCGUAGCCCCUUGGCUAGUAGUUGAGGCCCUCUUGGUGUACUUUCUUUUUGCAUGCAUUUUUCUAAAAUACGUAAUUCGCAUGAGUUAGAAGGAUUCAAGAAAGCAUAAUCUCUAACUACAUGAUGUAGAGUAUGAAAGAAAUGAAACAAUCCUAGAUGUCUUGGUGGUCAACUGUUUACAUGUGUGGCACACACACACACACAUAAAAGUGACCCCAUUGGACACGGAUUCAUAGACUCCCUAGGACUCUUUAACCUAGGCUCUUAUACUAAGCUUUGUCACUCCCCGAAUCAUCACCUAGGCAUAACACGUCACUUGGUGCCUGACUGAAUAUGACAGAGCGAACUAACUGGAUGGCUGGAUAAACAAGUGGUAUAAUUGUAAGCUGAAUAUAAACAUGCAACAUGCUGAUUUACUAAAGAGUCUGACUGAAAUAUCAUAAAUGCAGAAAGUACUCAAAAGUCUAUUAGUAUAAACAAGUAACCAACAAGGCUAACACAUAAAGUAUGCUAACAUCCGAAUGACUGGACUAUAGUCUACGAAGCCUCUAAAGAAUACUAAAAUGCUAAUUGUUUAUUGGGACAAUGUGUGUGACAUAACUUACUAACUGAAAUACUAUAAAGACUGAAAAAGAAGGAUAAUGCCUCGAGAGACUGGGGCUCACCAAUAGCUGAUACGAGAUGUCCUUUCAAGUAGCAUCGUCAAGCUGUAUAUCGUUACAUGCAUCGCGAGAUGCAGGCCUCAGGAAAAAGGGACGUCAGUAUAUUUGAAUUACACUGGUAUGUAAAACAACCGAAAGAAAGAACUGCAAAUACUGAAAAUGGACCCAAGUAUACGUGUACAUAACUGCGGCCUUAUGACCAAAUACAGGUAUUCAACAUUCGGGAUUUAAAAUCAGCAAGUGAGAAUAAUACUACAACACAUGAUACUAAAAUACUAAAUCAUACUAGGUUGCAUGAUACUAGAAUGCUGAAUAGGACUAGGCUGUGACAUGUAUUCACAAUAAAAGGAUUUAUCAUAACUGAGACUCAUGGGAUAUUGAAUGAAUGAUGAACCCAUGGCAUCUAGAGAAUAGGGGUUCUAUAACUAUUCAUGGAAUUGAGCCAUAAUUACUUUCUGAGAAAAUUCGUAAUAGUAUAAGAAUGAGACGUAGGAAAAAUCAUAAACAUUUCCAAACGUAGAGAGUUGGCCUCACAUAAUUUGGCGAUGGCCUUUUUAAGCGUAUCACAAUGUUCAUCGCCUCUUUCCACGAUAAUCUACUGUAAUAUAUAUCAAGAGGAACAAAUAUUAGCACUAAGGCUAAUGUUUUGGUAACUUAGGAAUUUUAUUAAACACUUUAUGGGUGUAAAGACUCAUCGCUUCAAAUUGUUAUAAUCAAUAUCAUUCUUCAUCACCCAUAAGAUAAACAACACCUUUUGCCAAUAAUCAACAAUCAAAACCCAAACCUAUAGUCGUUCAUGCUUUUAUGUUAAACCCAUCAACUCAUAUCUCAGGAACUCGAGUCUAUAAUCAUUAAUCCAAUACUAUAACCAAUUAGAGGAUGAAAAUAUUACCUUUUUGUCAUUCAACUCUCUUGAAUUUGAGUUCUAGAGUUUCUUUUCUCAGCAAUAAUGUAUCAAUCGAAUAUCUAAUAAUUUGAAGUAUUUACACAUGUUAAUAAGGUAUCGGAGAACAUAAAUUAGCUUAGAAUCAUCAUUAGAACUUACCUUGGAUGAUGAGGAGAUAUUGGCAGAAGUUAGGUUCUUGUGAGCUUCCCUUUCUAGAGCAAGUUUUCGUAUUUUGGGGUGUGUUAGACGAGGUAAGGCUUUUAAUACGGCCCUCCAGAUGCGCACCCACACAGUUGAAGGUCGAGUUGUGCACCUGAAUGUGAAGCAAGGGCAGUGGCACUGCCAUAAGUGCGAUGUCGCGCACGGGACAGCUGGGCGUGCAUCUGAGCGCACAAGCUGUACCUUGUCCAGUAAAAUGUGCAUAAAAAUUUGCACAUAGAUCCAUUUAAGAUCCAUAGAAUAUCAUUGAAAGGAUAUUUUAAAGGGCUACAACUUUCAUGUUUUAAGUUUUCUCAAAUUCCAAACAUAUGUUCACAAAAUCAGGCUGGAAGACAGACUUUCUAUAAACUUACUUAAUCGAUUUUAUCGCAUCUUAUGCACCUCACUUUUCAUCUUAAUUACAAAAGUACUAUUUCUUCCCAUACUCAUCCCGAUAGGACUUCACAUACCUAUAAUGUCACAUUCAUACUCAUUUAAUACAAUCACACCUAAUUCGAAUUUACGAAGUUCUAUAUUAUCUUCCCCCUGGGAUCAUUCGUCCUUGAAUGAUUGUCCUGACUGUAACUAAGGCUAACUCUAGACCUUAAACGGGUUUGAUGGAAAUAUGUGAACACUGAACUGUCAUGAAAAACCUUUAACUCAACUUUUCUCUGCUUGAAUUUGUAUCGAGCAGAAUCCGUUUAUUCUUUAGAUAUAACAUUAGAACUACUUUUAGCAUUAUCGUCGAUCUUUCUCUAUUUCUAUUUACACCAAGGCUCGCAUCAUCAUCGACCAUAAUAGGUUUCAUCUUUUUUUUUUUAGCUUUCUCACAUCAACUAUAUUUCUUAGUCCUCGUCUUAAUAUUCUUAACAAGGUUGUCAACUUUCUUCGUCUGCGAGUGAGUCAUUCGAAUGCUUUCUUAUUGAUAGCUUUUUGUAGGAGCAGUAGAGGACUCAAAAUUAUCAUCAUUAUUGGAGAACUGAUCAUACCCAUCCGCUUCAGAAAUAAGGGUUGGGGUAUGUUCCUAAAUGUAUCAACAUCAAACUUACUCCUUUUACCAGAAAUCUUUAAAUGAGUUUUAAGCAAAAAUAUGAAACAAUAAGUCAUGCUACAAUAAUAAAAUCACAUAGCAACACAAUCACAAUCAAUAACAGUGAAUGUGUAACAUUCUCCAAAUCUAUAAAAGUUUCAAGACAAUCUCAAUAUAGAAUUUAUUUUUUUUAAUCUUGUCUUGAGUGCAUAAAAGUUAUACUUCCUUUUACGGAUUUAAACCCUUAUGAUUGACUUUUGAGUUACUUAUCUAUUUAUAUAUAAAUGGGAUAUACAAAUAGGGAAAAUAUUAAUAAAGUUGAUAUUAUUAGUUUUUAGGAGUGAGUAUGAUUAAAUACUAAUUAAGUCAAAACAAAACAAAAAAAAGAGAAAAAAAGAGAAAGACACUUAAGAAUUGGGCCUAAAGCCCAUAGAAGCACUUGUUGAAAGAAAAAGGAAAAGAACGAGAGGUCAAGGUUUGGGAAAGAAUUGCAAGAAAUUCAAAACAACAAAAAAAUUGAUUUUCAAAGAGCAAGAAAGAACAAGGCAGCGUGUAGGUCAUUGUGAGAGCUAUUCCGCAGGACCUUCUUUAGGCCACGACUGAGAUAAUUGUUAUAUGGAAUUAUAAGAUAUAACAUCAUUAUACACUAGAAUCUAACACUCUAAUGGGGUGAAUUCAUAGGAUAGUUUACAAAACCUCAAGAACACCCAUCAAGUACGAGUUAGGUUUUUGGUAUUACAAGAUAAAUUCGUCACUUUUAUUGGAUUGCUAUAACGGGUUAAAGUUGUUAGAGAUAGUAAAGAAUUGUUAGAACAAGACCUCACCCCAACACUUAGAAAAUUAGAAGUUGAACCUAAAGUUUAUAGAGUUGAGAAAAGAUUAAUACUUUGUGAAAGUUAGAUACUUAUUGUGACUUAUUAUUGUAGUAUUUGAUCGUUGAGUUGAUUACAAGAAUUGGAACUUACAUUGUUGCUUGAAAGAAGAAAUUGAGGUGAGUGGAUAUAAUCCUUUACUAAAGUGGUUCUACUCACAAAUAUAUGCCAUGUUUGAUAAAAUGCUUUAAAGAGUCAACAUAUGCUUAAUUGGAACGAGUGAAUACAUGUUGACUAAGUAUAUUCACUACUAAAAAAUCAGAUUUUAGCGACGGACAAAUUCUGUACCUAAACAGAAAAAUCCGUCGCUAACCUCAUUUAGCGACGGAUUAGCAACGGAUUAUCAAGAAAUUUCGCUAGCUACGAGCGUUAUAGCGACAGAUUAGCGACGGCGUUCGUAGCUAAUUUCAGUUUAUUUUAUAGUGAUUCUAGUUAAAGCUCAUAUAUUUUACUCGAGAAGUAUAAUCAUCUAUUUUCCAUAUUUUUGUGUUUUAUUACAUGAUAUUACAUGUUAAAGUUUCAAGAUUUAGAUAGAACUUUUAAAAAUACUUUGAGUAAUUUUAUUUCAUGCUUAUGUUAUGCAUACACUCAAGAAUAUUAUUAUAAAUACUGAGAGAUCGCUUUCAAACAAGCUUUUGACUUGAUACGUGACAAGAAGAAGUUUUAGAAAGAUAAGAUUUUUGGGAGUAUCCUCUAUUCUGAGAAGGGAUCAUCAUCCAGGCCGAGGGUCCUGACCAACGCACUGACUUCCUAAAACUACUUGUACCAAAGUAGGGAGCACACAAGCCAAGAGUCACGUUGCUGAGAAUUUGCCUAGCCAGGCUAAGGUAUGAUACAUGAGUGUUGAGAACCAUGAAGCGAGUGGCACCUCGUGGAUUGGGAUUAUUCGAUCAGGUUGGGAUCGAACCCGUGCCGAUCACACGGUGACUAAGACAGAAAUUAGUCAGGAUAGUUGGAACUCUCGAAGCAUAAAGUGAAGUAUUUUUUUUAUAAGAAAGAAAAAGAAAAGAAUUUCUUUUAGAAUACUCAUAAACUGUUGUUAUACAAUUAUUUUAGAAUUGUUCUUAGAAGAUUUAUGUUUUCAUGUAUUUAGAAUCUUUGCUUGUAGUGUAUAUUUUAUUAAGUCUCGUUCUCUACUUUAGUAGGGGAUUGUUGAGACUCACUGAGUACAAUGGAUGGUACUGACGUUCUCUUUUGGAACCUACGUUGGUUUGUGGUACAACGUAGGAACCAGUUUUGCAGGCGAGCAGGAUACAGAUUAGGAUUUCCCUCUCUUCCAGUGCUAUUGGUGAGCUCCGUUUUUGUUCGUGGAGUAUUCAUUUGAGCCAUCUUUAUUUAGUUAUUUCUUUGUUUACUUGGAAAACUAUCCAGGCAAUCUCAUGUCCUGAGUAGUGCGUCAGUUUAUUAGUAAAGGCUUCAUAGACACAGUCGGUGGAUUAAGAUUCAGAUGUUGUUGAUCAUAACUUAGCAGUAUUUUAAUAGUUACUACGAACAAAGUUUUGGAGUUGGUUAUUUUAGAUAUUCAAAUUAAUUAAAAGUAUUUAGUUAAAGUAUUGCCUUGUUGCAUAUAAAGUUUGAAGUUAUAAUAGAUUUGAUAAGCGCACAUAGUUCGCUCGAUCAAGUUUAGUGAUCGGGUGUCGGUCACGGCUUGUUCAGAAAAUGUGUCGUGACAAACUUGGUAUCAAAGCCUCAUGUUUAUGGAGUCAUAGGGGUCUAUGAAGCCGUGUUAGUAAACUCUUAUUUAUGGGUAUGAAACGCAUCAUACAUAUACAUAGGAGGCUUCAUGGAUUUAGGAAAAGUCUCAUUUUUCCUAAAUGAAGACACAAAUAUUUACUUAAUAAUGAGGGUCUUCUUGUGAAAUUAGGAAAACCCCACUUGGAAAAGCAGACCUUUUACUCCAUGUAGAAAAAUAUGUUAUGAAAAUUAAAUUAUAGAAUUGUAUAAAUUGAUGAUCUUAAAUUAACAUAACAUUGUAAGUCCAUCACUCUGUAAGGAUCCCAUCACCUAACGAAGAAUUAACAAUCUAAUUCAAAAUAUUUCUGGCCCCCUCUUUAGUUCUUCUUUUUCUUAAUUCUAUUGCGCUUCUUGAUUUUUAACCUUUAGCACUGUUAUUUCCAAGCUGGAAAAUCAUCUGAAGUUGUGCACAAGACAAUUUGGUAAAAGAGCGUGCUGUAAUGAGAAGACCACGCGUAGUAUGUGUAAAGUAGCAAGUUUCCAUGAGAUCUCCUCAUGCUUAUGCAUAAGGCCUUCUGAUGAAUGUAUGGCUGAUUAGCUCUUCUGUCUAGCACUACCUUUUUCUCUUUUCACUUUCAUCCUGACCUACAGAUCAAGAUAAUCUUUAUAUUUUGUAUUACAAUUAGUGGCGUACGUCGGAUUUUGCACAAAAGCAUUAAUAUGGUCUAUUAUCACAAUUUGGCUUGCGUUAUAAUUGAAAUUAAGUUAGAGAUUGUGAUAAUUUGAGUCUUUAGUUACCGUUACAAAUUGAUAUUUACUUUGUAAUAUUCUCAUGCGACGUCAACCUAUUAUUUACAUACAUCCAUACAUAUUUAUUUUUUGAGAAAAUGUUGUUUAUGCACAUAUAAAAGAAAAAUCUUAGCAAAGUGGUGUCGCAUGACACCUCUCCUCCACUUGUUCGAGAUCCAAUUCCAAAAGACUACGAAUCUCUUACGAUUCGAAAAUCAAGUCGGAGACUACCACACAUAUACAUGAAAUACCUCAACAAAUGGUGGACAUGGAAGAGAUUGUUUUGCAAAUGCCAUUCGUUUGCCAAGCUAUAAAUAGGAGAAUUCGACCAUAUCUUGCAACGACUUGAGUUGGCUUUGACGUGUAUAGGCUCAUAUCUCAAAGCUAGGGUAAGUUCAAAACACUCCUUCACUACCAAUAUGGUUGUUCUAAUGAGUGCCAGCAAGAAGAAGGUAUCAACUGGUUGCCCCAUGUUUUUGGCUGCGGAAGCUAAGUUGGGAUCGUCUAUAUGUAUCUACAGAGGAUGUGAAGGUGAUGACGAUGACGAUGAUGAUGAUGCUUCAAAGGUGGCACCAGCUGCAUGAUAUUGUAAUGGUAUUUCCUACAACAACACAUAGUAAUACAUAUAGCUAGGUUCCCAUGUUUCUUUGCUGCAGAUUAACACUGUUGACAUCNNN
rnacentral:lncRNA from 1 species